GGGGCUGUAGCUCAGUUGGCUAGAGCGCUUGCAUGGCAUGCAAGAGGCCAGGGGUUCGAAUCCCCUCAGCUCCA
rnacentral:tRNA from 1 species